rnacentral:rRNA from 1 species
CCUACGGGGGGCAGCAGUGGGGAAUAUUGGACAAUGGGGGGAACCCUGAUCCAGCCAUGCCGCGUGUGUGAAGAAGGCCCUCGGGUUGUAAAGCACUUUCAGUGAGGAAGAACGCCUGGUGGUUAAUACCCAUCAGGAAAGACAUCACUCACAGAAGAAGCACCGGCUAACUCCGUGCCAGCAGCCGCGGUAAUACGGAGGGUGCGAGCGUUAAUCGGAAUUACUGGGCGUAAAGCGCGCGUAGGUGGCUUGAUAAGCCGGUUGUGAAAGCCCCGGGCUCAACCUGGGAACGGCAUCCGGAACUGUCAAGCUAGAGUGCAGGAGAGGAAGGUAGAAUUCCCGGUGUAGCGGUGAAAUGCGUAGAGAUCGGGAGGAAUACCAGUGGCGAAGGCGGCCUUCUGGACUGACACUGACACUGAGGUGCGAAAGCGUGGGUAGCAAACAGGAUUAGAUACUCGUGUAGUC